rnacentral:rRNA from 1 species
GAUUAACGCUGACGGUAUGCCUUAUACAUGCAAGUCGAACGGUAAGGUCUCUUCGGAGAUACACGAGUGGCGGACGGGUGAGUAACGCGUAGGAAUAUGCCCUUUAGUGGGGGACAACCAAGAGAAAUUUUGGCUAAUACCCCAUAUGUCGAGAGAUGAAAGAUUUAUCGCUAGAGGAGUAGCCUGCGUUUGAUUAGCUAGUUGGUGGGGUAAAAGCUCACCAAGGCGACGAUCAAUAGCUGGUUUGAGAGGAUGACCAGCCACAAUGGGACUGAGAUACGGCCCAUACUCCUACGGGAGGCAGCAGUAGGGAAUUUUGCGCAAUGGGCGAAAGCCUGACGCAGCAAUACCGUGUGCGGGAAGACGCUCUGUGGAGUGUAAACCGCUGUCAGAUGGGAAGAAUCAAUGACUGUACCAUCAAAGGAAGGACCGGCUAACUCUGUGCCAGCAGCCG